UAAGUCAGCCACGAAUAGGCUAUCCCAACUAACGGCGGGAAAGACUCCACGGAGGGUGUAAGACCCGUGUGGGCGCGUGUUAAAGCUGUGCGGGCUCGGCCUCUAUUCCCUGAGAGUCGCGUUGCUUGAGCAUGCAGCGCUAAGCAGGUCGUAAACUCGAUCUAAGGCUAAAUAUGUCCACAGAACCGAUAGCGAACAAGUACCGUGAGGGAAAGUUGAAAAGCACUCUGGAGAGAGAGUCAAAAGACCGUGAAACCGCUCAGAGUAUAAGCCCAUGGCAGCUUGGAAGGCAUAUCGCUAGCGGGGCAUCGGUCUUCCUUCGCGGGGAGCUGGUGUUACCUUGCUUCUGUUGUGGCUCGUCAUGGUAGGGGGGUCAAGUCCACAUCCCGCCGUCGUGUGGGGGGUUCUUGGGUGUGUUGUGGUUUCUUUGUUGGCUUCGGCUGGCAGAGGGGCCCUUCGUGCUCGGUUCCUCUUUGGACACGGACGUUCAGACUCAGAGGCAAGACGCGAUAAACAGCCCACCACGGCACGUUGUGAGGUCACCCACAGGCUCGACUUUCGAUCGUGAGCCUUGACGCCGAGCAAGCACAAUGCGUGUCGCUGAGGUUCCUAACCAGGCAACGGGCCAGGAUCGUGGAACGACACGUGCUCAACAGUCAGGUUCGGGCGGAGACAGAGUUCUGGUACGAUCCUCUUGCGACGAGCCGGCUUCUGGCCAAUAUCCGAUGCUCAGGUCUCCCGCAUGUGCCGCGGGAGAUCGCCUUGACGGUCUGGA
rnacentral:rRNA from 1 species